rnacentral:rRNA from 1 species
UACGUAGGGUGCAAGCGUUGUCCGGAAUUAUUGGGCGUAAAGGGCUCGUAGGCGGUUUGUCGCGUCGGGAGUGAAAUCCACUGGCUUAACUGGUGGCUUGCUUUCGAUACGGGCAGACUGGAGGUAUGCAGGGGAGAACGGAAUUCCUGGUGUAGCGGUGAAAUGCGCAGAUAUCAGGAGGAACACCGGGGGCGAAGGCGGGUCUCUGGGCCGAUACUGACGCUGAGGAGCGAAAGCGUGGGGAGCGAACAGG